rnacentral:rRNA from 1 species
UGGGGAAUAUUGCACAAUGGGCGCAAGCCUGAUGCAGCCAUGCCGCGUGUGUGAAGAAGGCCUUCGGGUUGUAAAGCACUUUCAGCGGGGAGGAAGGCGUUAAGGUUAAUAACCUUGGCGAUUGACGUUACCCGCAGAAGAAGCACCGGCUAACUCCGUGCCAGCAGCCGCGGUAAUACGGAGGGUGCAAGCGUUAAUCGGAAUUACUGGGCGUAAAGCGCACGCAGGCGGUCUGUCAAGUCGGAUGUGAGAUCCCCGGGCUCAACCUGGGAACUGCAUUCGAAACUGGCAGGCUAGAGUCUUGUAGAGGGGGGUAGAAUUCCAGGUGUAGCGGUGAAAUGCGUAGAGAUCUGGAGGAAUACCGGUGGCGAAGGCGGCCCCCUGGACGAAGACUGACGCUCGGGUGCGAAAGCGUGGGGAGCAAACAGG